rnacentral:lncRNA from 1 species
GUGCCCCCAGUGCUGCUCAGGGCAGCCGGGCUGUUCCCCAGCAGCCGGUGCCAUGGGCUGGGAGGAUGCUGGGGGGGUUGUGCUGCCAUGCUGCUCCCCCCAAGCUUGGUGCCACUGCACAGGUCCAGCACGGCAGCGCCAAGCCAGCCCCGAGGCCAGACCCCAUGCUGCACCCCAUGGGGGUCUCGCUGCCCACCCAGCACGUGCGCAAGGAGCCCCCCGAGCACCCACUGGCUCCGUGCAUGGCAAAGCCCAUCCUGGCCACGAGCACUGCCUGGAGGGGGGCUGGGGGUGGGCUCUGCCUGGGGAAACUGAGGCAUCGGGGGGGGGGGAGGCUCAGCCUGGAGCCGCGGCGCAGCCCCCCCGGCGCUCUGCCUGCCCCCGCUCCCGUGGCUCCCUGCUGCUCCCCCGGCCCUGCGCGCUGCAGCUGGGGGUCCCGGCCGGCAUUAACCCACCCCUCUCUGGCUGCUCCAAGUCCCCCAGAGGACCUCCCCCACAGGCCCCAAGAGCACGCAUAACCCGGCCCGCCUCAGCAACGUCCCCAGCAGCAUCCUCCGGAAAAACUCCCCCGCCACCCGCAACGGGGGCCCCGAGGCCGACGCGCAGAUCCUGGAGCUCAACCAGCAGGUGGGCAGGGCUGUGGGCACGGCAAGGGGCACGGGGGGGUCCCGGGGAGCCGCAGCCCCCUCGGCACAAACGCCGUCGUCUGCCCGCAGCUGAUGGAUCUGAAGCUGACAGUGGACGGGCUGGAGAAGGAGCGGGAUUUCUACUUCAGCAAGCUGCGGGACAUCGAGCUGAUCUGCCAGGAGCACGAGAACGAGAACAGCCCCAUCAUCACCGGCAUCGUCAGCGUCCUCUACGCCACGGAGGAGGGUUUCGCUCCGCCAGAGGACGACGAGCUGGAGGAGCAGCAGCCAGAGGACCAGGAUGAGUACUAGCCCCGGCACGCUCCCGCGCCCCGCGCCACCCUGCGCCGAUCCCCUCCAUAGACAUUCGAGGUCUGAGUCUGUGCGCCUCGCCCUGCACCGUCACGCACCAUCACAGCCUCCGGCCGAGCCGGCACGCUCGGCGUCCAGCAGCUCCGGUGGGAAGCCACUGUCUCCAUAAUAAAUAGAU